rnacentral:rRNA from 1 species
AGUCGAACGAACUUUCCUGAUGAUUGAAGCUUGCUUCAUUGAUUCAGAUCUAAGUGAGUGGCGGACGGGUGAGUAACACGUGGGUAACCUGCCCAAAAGUGGGGGAUAACAUUUGGAAACAGAUGCUAAUACCGCAUAACAACUAUUUUCUCCUGAUUAUAGUUUGAAAGAUGGCUCUGCUAUCGCUUUUGGAUGGACCCGCGGCGUAUUAGCUAGUUGGUGAGGUAAUGGCUCACCAAGGCGAUGAUACGUAGCCGACCUGAGAGGGUAAUCGGCCACAUUGGGACUGAGACACGGCCCAAACUCCUACGGGAGGCAGCAGUAGGGAAUCUUCCACAAUGGACGAAAGUCUGAUGGAGCAAUGCCGCGUGAGUGAAGAAGGUUUUCGGAUCGUAAAACUCUGUUGUUGAAGAAGAACAUGCGUGAGAGUAACUGUUCACGUACUGACGGUAUUCAACCAGAAAGCCACGGCUAACUACGUGCCAGCAGCCGCGGUAAUACGUAGGUGGCAAGCGUUGUCCGGAUUUAUUGGGCGUAAAGAGAAUGUAGGCGGUUUAUUAAGUUUGAAGUGAAAGCCCUCGGCUCAACCGAGGAAGUGCUCGAAAACUGGUAAACUUGAGUGCAGAAGAGGAAAGUGGAACUCCAUGUGUAGCGGUGGAAUGCGUAGAUAUAUGGAAGAACACCAGUGGCGAAGGCGGCUUUCUGGUCUGUAACUGACGCUGAGAUUCGAAAGCAUGGGUAGCAAACAGGAUUAGAUACCCUGGUAGUCCAUGCCGUAAACGAUGAGUGCUAAGUGUUGGGGGGUUUCCGCCCCUCAGUGCUGCAGCUAACGCAUUAAGCACUCCGCCUGGGGAGUACGAUCGCAAGAUUGAAACUCAAAGGAAUUGACGGGGGCCCGCACAAGCGGUGGAGCAUGUGGUUUAAUUCGAAGCAACGCGAAGAACCUUACCAGGUCUUGACAUACCAUGAAAAGCUGAGAGAUCAGUCUUUCCCUUCGGGGACAUGGAUACAGGUGGUGCAUGGUUGUCGUCAGCUCGUGUCGUGAGAUGUUGGGUUAAGUCCCGCAACGAGCGCAACCCUUAUUAUCAGUUGCCAGCAUUCAGUUGGGCACUCUGGUGAGACUGCCGGUGAUAAACCGGAGGAAGGUGGGGACGACGUCAAAUCAUCAUGCCCCUUAUGACCUGGGCUACACACGUGCUACAAUGGUCGGUACAACGUGCUGCGAACUCGCGAGGGCAAGCAAAUCACUUAAAACCGAUCUCAGUUCGGAUUGUAGGCUGCAACUCGCCUACAUGAAGCUGGAAUCGCUAGUAAUCGCGGAUCAGCAUGCCGCGGUGAAUACGUUCCCGGGCCUUGUACACACCGCCCGUCACACCAUGAGAGUUUGUAACACCCAAAGUCGGUGGGGUAACCCUUCGGGGAACUAGCCGC